rnacentral:tRNA from 14 species
UGAUGCCUGGUGUCUUCCUGUGCACAGGCUUCAAAACCAUCUUGGAGGCG